ACAGUAGUGGGGCUGUUAUAACACGAGCAGGAUGUAUUAUUAGAUAUUAAAGGCUGAAAAGCAACAGCUAAUAAGAAAUUAUCAAACCAAACACAUAAAAACAGCCUAAGCUGAGUUCCUAACUUGUGAUUAUCGAUGGUUUAAGAAAUACGGCUUAAAAGACUUUUAUUUUGCAAUGCCCCAGGUCUUUGGAGUCUGUCACACACGUCAUGCGGUCAUGGUGGAAAACAACCCAAGAAGUUGAACAAGAUGAACUGAAAAUGAUGCAAAAUGACAAAAAGGCGUGUUGUUUUUAGCUGCAGCAAUUCGAUGUUCAGUGGGUCUUUGUGCACAGCCAUAUUUACAUUGAUAAUGUCAUAGACAUAUAUAUACAUAGAUCCCGCAUAGUAGCAGCCCGCACAAGGAGGCAAGCUAUGCUGAGUCUAUGUAUAUAUAUAUAUGUCUAUGUAACUUAUGUAACGUUACGUGUUUAGGAUGUAAACAGAGGUUUUUAAUAAACUUCUUGUGCACUUUUUAAGUUCUUAAUGCCUAAUUUUAAAUGUCAGGGCUCUCCAGAUCCUAGCAAGGAGGUGUGGAGCUACUUUGAGCCUGGAAAAAUCGAUUUAUCGGGGCAAGCUAUACCCCGUGUGACCCAGUCUGAAGGGUGUUGGACAAACUGUUCAAAUUUCUGGAUCCCGGAACACUGUGGGAGGGCAGAUGUGUGCUAUUCUUCAAAGAAGCCGUGCCGGUCGCAGUUGGGGAUGUAGAUGUCGUGGUCCAGGUGGAUGGCGGUGAGGUCGAUUCCCUGCAGCACUGAGUUCAGCAGCUUACGGCACGGACCCUUCACACACAGGAGGAGGGGUAUCCAUGGUGCUCUUCAUGGUUCUGCAGAUCCCCCUGCCCUGAAGCAGUGCCUGCAGGGGGCUCUGGUCCCCAUCAGGGGGCAUGCAGCGAAGACCCCGCCCACACGAGAGGGUGUACACCCCGCAGGGCUCCCCCAAUGCCAGCACCGCUGUGCCAUCCUCCUUUGACUGGGGCACGGUGACGUGACCCUUCGUGACCCCUGCUGAGCCGGGGCAGGAAGGGCAUGGCUUCCUGAGUGCCACCUGAGGGGCGAGGGCACCGCAGCUGUACAGGUAGAGCUGGAGGGUGAGGAGCAGUGCCAGCAUGUCGUGGAGGGAGGGCAUGAUGCCUACAGGAGCCUGAGGAGGCGUUGUGAGGAAGAGUUCUGAGCUGGGUCUGUUGGGAGUCCGGGAGUUCCUGUGAGCGACGGCCUCAGGAGGCUGUGGGUUCUGAGCCGGCCGAGCGGAGAUAAUGACUACCCAGCCAGCAUCCUCACGCUUUUAAAGGCCUCAGAGAUGGUGAGGUAGGAGGGAGGCUGAGGAGAGGUGGAACAGUGACACGUAGAGGGUGGAGCUACACAACUGCAGGCAAUCGAACAUGAAAUUCCCUCCCAUUUUUUUUUUACAUCACCCUCAAACAUGCUCCACUCUGGGCUGUUGAUUUAUGGAGCUGAAAGUGUUUUACCCCUGUUUGGAUUGGUUGUAUCUGCUGGAAGCAUAUGCACUUCUGCUGGGUGUGUUAAACGUUUGAUUUACAUGCUUUAAGAUUACACACUUUUUAUAUUAAGGUUUCCACUGACUGUUAUCAAGUUAAAUGCAUAAUUUAAUCAACAAGAACAAAGAAUCUAGAGUGGCUUUGGUAGGAAACACUCUGAAGAAACUUUUAUCAUUUAUUUUAUUUGAUUAAUAUCAUGAUCUUCACUGAUGUAGCAACAUGUACUUGAUCUGUACAAAAGAUUUUCUGACAAUGUCCGUAUAUAAAAAUGUAUUGCAAGCCCACA